AAAUGUAACGGAGGCGCCCAAAGGUUCCCUCAGAAUGGCUGGAAAUCAUUCGCAGAGCGUAAACGUAUAAGGGAGCUUGACUGCGAGACUGACAAGUCGAGCAGGGACGAAAGUCGGGCUUAGUGAUCCGGUGGUUCCGUAUGGAAGGGCCAUCGCUCAACGGAUAAAAGCUACCCUGGGGAUAACAGGCUUAUCUCCCCCAAGAGUCCACAUCGACGGGGAGGUUUGGCACCUCGAUGUCGGCUCAUCGCAUCCUGGGGCUGUAGUCGGUCCCAAGGGUUGGGCUGUUCGCCCAUUAAAGCGGUACGCGAGCUGGGUUCAGAACGUCGUGAGACAGUUCGGUCCCUAUCCGUCGCGGGCGUAGGAAAUUUGAGAGGACCUGUCCUUAGUACGAGAGGACCGGGAUGGACAUACCGCUGGUGUACCAGUUGUUCCGCCAGGAGCACCGCCGGGUAGCUAUGUAUGGACGAGAUAAACGCUGAAAGCAUCUAAGUGUGAAACUCGCCUCGAGAUGAGAUUGCCCAGUUCCUUCGGGAAAGUAAGACCCCUCAGAGAUGAUGAGGUAGAUAGGAUGGAAGUGGAAGUGCCGUGAGGCAUGGAGCGGACCAUUACUAAUCGGUCGAGGACUUAACCAAG
rnacentral:rRNA from 1 species